rnacentral:rRNA from 1 species
AGUGAACGCUGGCGGUAGGCCUAACACAUGCAAGUCGAACGGCAGCACAGUAAGAGCUUGCUCUUACGGGUGGCGAGUAGCGGACGGGUGAGGAAUACAUCGGAAUCUACUUUUUCGUGGGGGAUAACGUAGGGAAACUUACGCUAAUACCGCAUACGACCUACGGGUGAAAGCAUGGGAUCUUCGGACCUUGCGCGAUUGAAUGAGCCGAUGUCGGAUUAGCUAGUUGGCGGGGUAAAGGCCCACCAAGGCGACGAUCCGUAGCUGGUCUGAGAGGAUGAUCAGCCACACUGGAACUGAGACACGGUCCAGACUCCUACGGGAGGCAGCAGUGGGGAAUAUUGGACAAUGGGCGCAAGCCUGAUCCAGCCAGACCGCGUGGGUGAAGAAGGCCUUCGGGUUGUAAAGCCCUUUUGUUGGGAAAGAAAAGCAGCAGGUUAAUACCCCGCUGUUCUGACGGUACCCAAAGAAUAAGCACCGGCUAACUUCGUG